rnacentral:tRNA from 1 species
GCGCCUGUAGCUCAGGGGAUAGAGCGUGCGCCUCCGGAGCGCAAGGUCGCAGGUUCGAUUCCUGCCAGGCGCAUCA